rnacentral:rRNA from 1 species
UACGUAGGGUCCGAGCGUUGUCCGGAAUUACUGGGCGUAAAGAGCUCGUAGGUGGUUUGUCGCGUUGUUCGUGAAAACUCACAGCUCAACUGUGGGCGUGCGGGCGAUACGGGCAGACUUGAGUACUGCAGGGGAGACUGGAAUUCCUGGUGUAGCGGUGGAAUGCGUAGAUAUCAGGAGGAAUACCGGUGGCGAAAGCGACUCUCUGGACGGCAACUGACGCUGAGGCACGAAAGCGUGGGGAGCAAACAGG